AUAAUUAAUGAUGUUAUUAAUAUCAAAGACCUUGAUCAAAAAUUAAAAAUAAAUAGGAUUUUAAUUAAUAGAGUAGCAAAAAGAAGAAUAUGAACCUAAUUUCUCCUUCUGCAAAUGUAACAUUGACUGCACAUGAGGGAGAAUCUAAACAAAUACCCUAUCAUCAAUCGUCUGCCCCUCGAAUUUUAUAAAGGUGUGACAAACAACGAGCAGUUCCAUCAGACAUCAUGCUAUCUACCCUUUCAUACUUCUUAUAAUUUGCUUUAAAGGCCUCGCUUUGCAAGCUUCUCUUCUUUCUCCAGCUGUUUCUUGAGCUAAAAAACUUCUACAGUAUGCUUUCCAUGUCGUUCCUUCAUUUUCCUUGCCACUUCAAAGUUAGGAUCUUCUGGUUCCAACCAAUGACACUACAUCUGUCUUCUAGGCAUAGUAGGGCGCUCAUCAAACAUGUUGGCCGCAGCAGAAAGUGCCCUCACAAGCCUUGGUAUCCCCAAAAUCAUGAAACGGAAUUCCGUUAUCUCCUUGCCAAUGACACUAGCUUCCUUCGGAUUCUCCAUCUCCACCAGUGCACAGUGUAGGACGUUCUUGAUUCCAAGUUAUAGAAUUUUUCAGGUCAACGGGCCGAGGGUCCACUCCAAUAACAUCGAUAUUGUCCCCACUUAACCACCUACAUAAUCCUCAGGUGUGAGAUUUUAUCAUAAAAUGUCUUGGUAUUAGUUAGAAUGAGGUAAUUCUAUUUAAAGUGAUUUCUCUCUUCCUUCUUGGCCGAUGUGGGACAAUGGGUGUUCCAACACAAGUAAUUUGGAAUGAACUGAACACUUUUCACAGUCCCAAACUGAGAAAGUGCAGUUUUCACAAUAGAUUCGGUGACCUGGGGUGAGAUGUUAUCAAGGUAAACAGUUCGUUUAACCUUCUCCUCAAAUGCAGCAUACUCAAAUUUUGAAGUCCUCAUAUAACACAAUGCGUCGAAAUCUAACAAGAAACAUAUUUCGAAAAGUGAGCCCAAUUUUACAAAGUAAGUCAAGAUUUCAAUUCAAAACAAUUAUAAAGAACAUCGAACAUUAGCGGUCCCAACUUUUGUCAAAAUUCAAACAACUACAACAUUCCUAACAACAACAGCAGCAACAACAACAUAACAAAGCCUUAUCCCUGUGUGAACCCUACAACAUUCCUAAACCCCAGCAAAAAUUACUGACUAUAUAUAUGUCCCUUGUGAGAAAUCUGCAAGGAAUUGAUGAAAAUAAACACAUUAUUAUACACCAUUGCACCCAAGAACAAGUUAGAUAUUGGAAUCAUGCUCAUUACCUUUGAAAAUGACUAGUUUACAGAUUGCAUAGUUAGACUACAAGAUAUCCCACUCAAUUGGAAAAUCGAAACAAUCUUUAACAUUAUGAAGAAGUUUCUAUUUUGUAAACAACUUUCUCUAAAUGUAAUAAAUGGGUUCACAAUAGGUAUCAUCUUAUUGCAAGAAACUAAUCUAAUUGCAUAAUUUACCUCAGCAAAUAGCAACUCAGUGAGUCUCAGCAGUAGCAGAAAUUCAAAACCCCUAAAUUGAACCAGAAAUUAUUACAUUUUCUUCUUAGAACAACCCUCAUCAAAACUGAAACUGAAAACCUCGAAAUUGGAUUCAGAAAAACCCCAAGUUUUCAAAACCCUAAAAUCAGUUUUAAAACAUUAAAUUCAACAUAUGUAUGUUAGGAUCCUAGUUAUUGGGUUUAUAUCUUUAUGGUAUUUUGUCUUAUUUUUGUAGUAGUUGGCUUCAUCCAACGGUUCUGAGGAUAGAGAUGUAUUUUCAUCUGGGAACUCCUCUGCUGGGGUUGUAUAUAAGUCUCCUUUCACCAUUUGGGAAAGGCAUGAAUGAAAAGAAUUGUUAUUUUAUUUCAUACUUUAGCUACAUUUUCCUUUUCUUCUCCAUUCCUACGGAAUGGGUCCUAUCAUCUGGUAUCCAAAGUAGACCUGGCAUCGUGUCGUGUUUUUCGUGUUCGUGUCGUUUUCAUGUCAUACCCGAUAUCUUAAAAGGUCGUGUCAUGUAAUACCUGUUAAAAUAAACGGAAAAAAUGACCUGACCCGAAAUUGACCCAAUAAUAUUAACAGGUAAUAUGAUCCAACCCGUUACCCGUUAAGAAAAAUAUAUUUUAAACCAAUAAAUAAUCAAAUGAAAAACAUAAUACUAAAUAAGUAUAUACAUACUAUAUUGUCACAUCCAAAACAUAAAAACGCAUUUUUCUUUUAAGUAUAUUUUCACUUACCUAAAGUCUUUAAUAGUUUUUUAAUUAAUGUAGAAGUGUAAAAAAAUAUAGAAAACAUAUAUAAACACUUGUAAUGACAAGCUUUACAACUUUCAUGAAGAGCUUAACUUCGAAAUUCACCACUAUAAUCAUAUCAAUCAUAGAUCAAAAUUUAACCGUUAAUUGUUGUUUACAUUUACGCUUCAUUGUUCUCAACAAAUUUUGUUUUUUUUUUUUUCAGAUUUUCUUUUUUGAAAACUUGAUCUGUUAG
rnacentral:lncRNA from 1 species